rnacentral:sRNA from 1 species
CCCUAGCCCUGAUGGCAGCGGCAUCCUUUUGCGGCGGAGCACAGCGGAGCCGGAAAAGAUAGAGCGGACAGCAGGAAUAGCU